AUAAGUGUGAGCCUCUUUUACAACUUUACUUACAUCCUUCAAAUGUAAGAGCUGCUGGCACGUCUGGUGAGGGUUUGCCCACACCUAAUCUAAACCGAGCUUUAGUCCCUCUCGUACUUUGUUGAGUAUUGGCUUCAGCUGCACCAGUGCCUGCAAUGUGAGGUCAUUAAUAGACAGGGAGGAAAUAAUAGUUGAAUUAAUUCUGAAUGAAGACGUCAUGCCAAAUAUUCUUUGAUAGCCAUUACAGUCAUGAAUACACAGACUUUAUGAUUGCUUUUUUCUUGUCAACAUGUAUUGUUCCCAAAUAACCACGGGCCACAACUGGAUCAGAUAGUUCCAUCAUUUCUCUUCAUCUGCAUUUUCGAUCUGAAAGCAGAAACAACAAUAACGAGGAGAAAUGGAAUUUUUAUAUUUAAGAACGAGGACUGUGUGGAGGAGAGCCGAGUCAGGUGACAGGUUGUUCACCUGAUCAACAAGCUGGAGUCAGAACCUGUGAUUUAUCCUCCCUGACUAUUGAGUUAUGUUUUAUGCUGAUGUUAUUUUCUUGUUUUGAGCCAAACCAGAUUUCUCUAUAGGAACUCUGUGUUAAAGGGUCAAUGCACCAAAUUAUGCUUUGAUAAGAGUUCAUUUCUCAUGCAAGGAAAGACACAAACUUCUCAGAGGGAUUAGUAGUGGGCACAAGUUAAAUGAGCUCAUAUCACUACGUUGGCUUUAUCAGCCCUGCACAGAACAGAUCGGUCUCAGACUUUUAGAUUCUCUUAAAUAAGUAGAAUCUGAAACUGAAGGUUUUAGAUUAAAUCUGAUUCCUAAAUCAAGAAGUAAAGCUUAAAGAAUAACCUAAGUUUGUAAUUUGGAACAAAGUUGUGUUAACUAAAACUAUCUUGAACUAAGGAAGGUUAAGUGUGACCUUCUUAGCUGCAAACCUAGAACUGGUCUAGUAGCUUUAUAUCUGUCUUACUGUGACAUAAGUGCUGCAAAAGGGGUUUAUUUCUCUCUCUCUAUCUCUCAGUCCCUCUCUCCAAUUUUACCGUAUUUUCUCUAUAUAUGAUGUAGGUUUGGAUUUUCCCUGCUAAAUUGUGAUGGUCUGGCAGUCUCCAUCGGUCGAGCUGCCUCGUGCCAGUUUAUGGGCGUCAUCAGGCCGGAAGGUGUUUCCCGUGUUGAAGCCGCCACACCUGUCUUCCAUCUAGAUUGGCCACUACUUAACUGAGCUUCAGUCAACGCUGGAUCGUUGAGUUACCGAGAACUUGGAGAGGAGUGUGUCAGAGGAGCGAG